rnacentral:pre_miRNA from 1 species
AACACACACACGUGAUGGCUUUCAACACAUACACGUGAUGGCUUUCUACGUGUGUGUGUUGAAAGCCAUAACGUGUGUGUUGAAAGCCAUAAC